UACGUAGGGGGCAAGCGUUGUCCGGAAUCAUUGGGCGUAAAGCGCGUGUAGGCGGUUCGGUAAGUCUGCUGUGAAAGUCGGGGGCUCAACCCUCGAAUGCCGGUGGAAACUGUCGGGCUCGAGUGCGGAAGAGGCGAGUGGAAUUCCUGGUGUAGCGGUGAAAUGCGCAGAUAUCGGGAAGAAUAUCCGUGGCGAAGGCGGCUCUCUGGGACGGUACUGACGCUGAGACGCGAAAGCUAGGGGAGCAAACAGG
rnacentral:rRNA from 1 species